GACGAACGCUGGCGGCGUGCUUAACACAUGCAAGUGGAGCGACGAACCAGGGCUUGCCCUGGGCAGAGCCGCGAACGGGUGAGUAACACGUGGGUAACGUGCCCCAAUGAUCGGGACAACCCGGGGAAACCCGGGCUAAUACCGAAUGUGCUCCCCUCACACCAGUGAGGGGUGGAAAGGAAGCUUCGGCCUCCGCAUUGGGAUCGGCCCGCGGCCCAUUAGCUUGUUGGUGAGGUAAUGGCUCACCAAGGCUGCGAUGGGUAGCUGGUCUGAGAGGACGAUCAGCCACACUGGGACUGAGACACGGCCCAGACUCCUACGGGAGGCAGCAGUGGGGAAUCUUGCGCAAUGCGCGAAAGCGUGACGCAGCAACGCCGCGUGGGGGAAGAAGGCCUUCGGGUUGUAAACCCCUUUCAGGAGGGACGAAGCCCCGGCCGUUAAUAGCGGACCGGGGUAACGGUACCUCCAGAAGAAGCCCCGGCUAACUACGUGCCAGCCGCCGCUGUAA
rnacentral:rRNA from 1 species